AUGUGGAUAACGUUGUUUUUUUUGUCAUCAGAGGACAAACUGAAUUGUAUAAUAAUUGUUUACAUUUUUUGAUCUCUUAACAUCUUAUCGCAGAUUCUUAUCACAAUCAGUGGUCCGAUGGCAGAUGAUCAGUUGCUUCUCAUUACAUUUUAAUCAUUGAAUUGUGAUCAUGUGAAGGGGGUUAUGUGCCUGAUGAUAAAUUAAGAAUCGUCCUCUACCAAUGUGAAAUAACGUUAUCGCUUAUCUCCCCUCGACUUCAAGUGCUCAAUCACAAUUGAACUAUCUAAAUCAACCCCUUCACUGCCCAUCAAUUUAUUUAGGUUUCAUGGGUUGGAUUGAUGGGGCUUUAUUGUCAUGUCCCCAGUUCUCACCAUAUUACACUUGGCAUGACUGUUCUGAGCACCCUUGCUCUGGAAGACUCUUUGGAGAGAUGUUCUUGGCACAGCCUGCAGUGGCCUAACCAGGUAAGAUGGGAAUCGGGAUCAGUUGUGGGUUGUAUGAAACUAAGGGUUAAAGAUGUGAGGAAUUUAGGUACACAGGAGUAGAGGUAUUUUCUGAAUUUAGUACAGGGUAAAGGCAAACAACCUUUUGAUUUAUGCUGAGUGUGGACAGGUAAUAUAGUUUUGUUAUUCCUUUCCAAACUAAAAAGCAGAAUGUCAAUCAAAUGUCUUUUAAAGGGGAAAUCUGGGUUUCAUCAACAUUUUGGGACUUAAAUGAAUUAUCUGCCUAACCAUUGAUUCUUACAGAAUAUAGCUUUAAUGCCUCGUGAGCAUAGUUAAGCUGUCCUACCCCCCAAAAAAUGUACAGCCCAAACGUAAGUUUGUUACUCCACUGUUUGUAAAAAAUAAAUAAAUGUUUAAUUGUUAACAAACUAUAGCUUCAAAGCCUGUUUAACUAUUAUUUUGAUAUCCUAGAUAGUCAGUCGUUUCAAUAGCUCAGUUUAUGUUUUUCAGUGGUUACAUUUCUCCUGCCCGUCCCUCAGCUGUUAACCAAACAAUAGUCGGGGAAUUUAUUAUUUGAAUCCAAGAUUGCCCUUCCAUAAUCAGGCAGGGACCAAGUAUUUUCAGUUCAGCAGGUUCCUGGUAACGUGUGUGUAUAUACAUUUUAUUUUUUAGUGUGCAUAAACGAAAACGAGCGUUUAUUGGACAAGUGCAGGUUAGUGAGUCGCCCGGUUUUGGACAUAUUCGUUCCUAGUGAAUGCGCACCUGCGUUCGAUGUUCUAGGCAUCUGUUAAAUUACAAAUGUAUAGUUAAUUGAGCAUUCCUAUGUAGUGAAACCUAUACUGGAAAUAGUUAUAUUGGUUUGUACAGCCUGUCAUUCCUACUAUCCGGUGCCUUUUGGUCGUCAUAACUUUAUUAAAAAAAAACUUGUGUGUGCAUAUGUAUUUUAUCAGAAAGCACACGUUUGACUUUCAUAAAAUAUUGGUCAAACUCGGGCACUAAAAUCCCUGUUGUGUGCAUGAUCUUAUACAGUCCAUUGCAUAAUCCUAACGGUGGCAAUUUGGAGCAUAAAUUAGCCAUAGCUCUGUGUGAUUUAAGAUAACAUAAUCGUGAACACUUAAAGGAUGUUAACUUCUUUAUGAAAUGUUUUUUAAGAUUUUGCAAUUUGAUUAAUUUUCUCUCAUUUAGCCUAACAAAGGAAAUGUAUGACUAGCAUAAUGAAAAAUGCAUAAAACCGAGUGUUUUAUUUAUUUACAUUUGGCACAAUUGUCCCCCCCUAAAACGAUGUCCUGAACGUGAUUGUGGGAAGGGCAUGUUUUCUUAAUAAAUGAGAAUUGCUACAUACUAAGGGAGAAAAGUGAUAUCGGGGCACACAUUUUAAAUUCAAUAGUUUAUAUUUCUCGUAGAAGUUGAAUAACACGUUGGGUUGCAUAAACGCCUCAAAAUGCGUAGCAUUCCCUUUCAAGAUCUAUAUUUUUGUGUUUUUAAAGUAUGGACGCCUGACAUUAAUUCCCCUUCCCGAUUGUUUAAUCUCCAAAUAAAAUACUUAAAACCA